CUUUUGCGCCUCCGCCCCUGGGUUGGCGGACAGGAGAAGGAACGAAGAUGGCGGAGUGAGGCGUGCCCCGGGCAGCUGGCCUGCGGGCCCGGGGCAGGCCUCCGGCGAGAAGCGGAGCACUUGUGCUGGACUGUGUGAGGAACCUUAUCACACAAGAUGAACAUUUUCCUGACCUUAGGUGCUUUUAUAUUCAGCUCAACAUUCGAACUCAGGACUUUGCAAGAGUUCCUGUGUGGACUGCUCAGUGAGAUGUCCUGGUUCUUCCAUCCCGUUACUUUCCCCAGUGAGAUGCAGUGUCUUUCGACAGAUUACCUCCAUGGUUUAGGAUGCAAAGACUGCUUUUCUUUUAUUUCACGUCAGACUCAACACAGAAAAGCCCUGAGGAUACAGCUGCCCUGUUGACAUCAGGAAGAAAAUACACAACUGACUUGGGUCCUCUGCAGUUUUUUAACUGGAAAGACACCGUUUGCAAGCAGAAGGAAGAUGCUGAAUGUGAAACAAGCGCUUUGGUUAUGUGGUGUGAGUUGUUCUCUUUUUCAAAGAUCCAAACAAGAAGACUGAACAAAUACCAAAUGUGGGUGACUUCAGGUUUUUUUUAAAAUGUCUUCCAUUUUUAACACUAUUAUAAGCACAGUUGAAACCACAGAGGUAAAUUCCAAAUAUUUAAUAUAAUUCGAGGUAAAAGAAAUGUUAUCUAAGUUCUGGCUCACUCUUUGACAGAUUUCCUGGACAAAAACAAGAUACAAUAAAAGCAGAAACCAGGUUUGGUUUCAUAAGGGAGUGAAACCA